UGCUAUUCAGGAAUAUAUAGUGUCUAGAAUUCUCUCUUAUUUUAUAGGUUCUUUUGUUGAUACUAAUGUUGGAACAGCAGUUAGUGAUCCUUUCAGUGGAGACCCUUUCGAAAAUGCUUUUAAUGUAACUGCAUCACAAUAAAAAAAAAAAAGAUCGUUUUGAUCCGUUUAGAUUAUCUCAAGCAAAUUCUAAUCAAGCUCCUUCUAUGGACAUGUAUUUAUGAAGAGGAAGAUUUAUGGAAAAGUGUUUUGUUUUGCAUCAUAGUUCUGGAUCUUAAGAGACUUGGAAAAGUGAUUGUUAAAAUCGACAAGUCGCAAAACUAUUUAGAAGAUGAUGGUAUGUUAUAAGUGAACGUACGCCACAAUCCUCGUGUUCGUUACAGACUCCAACGUACUCUAAAUAUUCACCUACGCAUUAUUUCUAUAUAUAUGCAAGAAUAAUUUUAUUAAAAAUCUUCAAGAAACUGAAAGGGUCGUCGCAUGUUAGAUGUUGAACAAUUCACGUCUCCGGGGAGGUUUGAGUGAGAAAGUUCCAUUGAAAGAAGAUUAUUUUCGAAGAAGUAAACGAGAACUGUAAAGGCAGGCAAGUUAACUUAUUAAAAUGAUUACUAUACUUUAAA